AUUGAACGCUAGCGGGAUGCCUUACACAUGCAAGUCGAACGGAGUGGCGAACGGGUGAGUAAUGUAUCGGAACGUGCCCAGUAGCGGGGGAUAACUACGCGAAAGCGUAGCUAAUACCGCAUACUAUUGGAGCGGCCGAUAUCGGAUUAGCUAGUUGGUGGGGUAACGGCUCACCAUGGCGACGAUCCGUAGCUGGUUUGAGAGGACUACCAGCCACACGGGGACGGAGACAUGGCCCAGUCUCCUACGGGAGGCAGCAGUGGGUAAUUUUGGACAAUGGGGGAAACACUGAUCCAGCCAUCCCGCGUGUAUGAAGAAGGACUUCGGGUUGUAAAGUACUUUCAGCGAGGAGGCGUUACUCGCAGAAGAAGCACCGGCUAACUCCGUGCCAGCAGCCGCGGUAAUUC
rnacentral:rRNA from 1 species